rnacentral:rRNA from 1 species
ACAAGGUCUCCGUAGGUGAACCUGCGGAGGGAUCAUUACACAAUAUGCAAGCGGGCUGGGAUCCCUGGGAGGGCGUCUAUUCUGCCGUUUCCGCCGCAUCUGCGGUGCUGAAGCGACAGGGCGGGCGUCUUUUCGGCCAGCCUGACUCCAUAUUCACCCAUGUCUUUUGCGUACUACUUGUUUCCUUGGUGGGUUCGCCCACCAACAGGACCAUUCAAACCUUUUUGUAAUUGCAAUCAGCGUCAGCAAAACAAUGUAAUAAAUUACAACUUUCAACAACGGAUCUCUUGGUUCUGGCAUCGAUGAAGAACGCAGCGAAAUGCGAUAAGUAGUGUGAAUUGCAGAAUUCAGUGAAUCAUCGAAUCUUUGAACUGCACAUUGCGCCCUUUGGUAUUCCAAAGGGCAUGCCUGUUCGAGCGUCAUUUGUACCCUCAAGCUUUGCUUGGUGUUGGGCGUUUUUGUCUCAUGGUCCUGCCAGCGACUCGCCUUAAAAUCAUUGGCAGCCGGCCUACUGGUUUCGGAGCGCAGCACAAAUUUGCGCUUCUUCCAGCAGCGGUCCGCGUCCAUGAAGCCACUUUUUCAACGUUUGACUCGGANCAGGUAGGGAUANCCGCUGAACUUAA